GGGAGAGCCGGGCUGGGGGAGAGCCGGGUUAGUGACUGACAUGUCUACCGACCACAUAUGAGACAAAGUGGGUGGGGUACAGCUCUCUCCUGUCUUCUCUUCUUCGAGUUCACUUCAACUCGGUCAUUAAUUUUACAUUUGCGUACUGACUUUACAGGUAUUUGUCCACCUGUAUGGUGUGCAUUGUCUCCCCCUAAUGGACAACUAGGGGAGUAUCUUAGGAAGGCUAUGUGACUGAUAAGCAGCGUGUCUAAUUCUAUGAUCUAUUAGAUAGAUGAUUUGUCUUCUGUCGUUUGAGAAAUUAUGUGUGCCACAUUUUAAACAAACAAACAAAAAAAGCUCUGGUCUUAAAAAACGUUAAAUAGUAAAUUGCUAAGUAUACAGUGGAUAUUGAAGGUCUACACAGCCUUGCUGAGAGUGCAAGGUUUCGUGAUGUAAAAAAGAAAUUAAGUUGAGAUAAACAGUGCCUCGUAAUUGAGCUUUUUUCCCCCCCCUCGUUUAAGAUCAUAUCACACAUAUAUAAGAUCUUACCAGAAGAACGAAAGGAUGACGGUUUGGACAUUAAGGAAAAAUGGGAAAUGGAGAUGAAUACCAUCAUUCCAGAUGAAAAAAGACCACUAUCUUGCGGAGAGGGACACAAAAUAACAAACAGCCCGAUUUGGAGGGAAUUUGAAUGGAAAUUCAAGAUGAGAUUUUUCAGAACUCGCCUUAUUACCUUAAAAUUUGGGGACAGAUCAGAUCAAUGUUGGAGGGGCUGCGACCUGGUGGGAGACCAUACACACAUAUUCUGGGACUUCCAAAAUUAACAGAAUAUUGGCAAAGCACACAAAAUGAAAUUUAAAAAUGUUUACAUAUAGAACUGCCUUUAGAACCAUCUUGGUAUUUAUUGGGAUUACUUCCAGAGGAGGUGGAGAACAAUAAUAUGAUAUUCUUACUGAGAGUCUUACUCUUAAUAGCUAAGAAGAUGAUUACGGUCUCCUGGCUGAAGCCGCAACCCCCCACGAUAUCACAAUGGAGGGAAAGGGUGAAGGAGGUUUAUUACAUGGAAAAUACAGCUGCAAAAUUACAACUAAAAACAGAAAUAUUUUCAAUUAAAUGGUCCGCGAUCAUCUCAGAUUUUCUCAUGUGAUUUGUUGUAGGAGUCAGAGUAGAUUUUCUUUGUUAUUUAAAUCUGAAUGCCAUCUUGAUGUUAUUCACGCAUUACUAUUAUUUAUUCAUUAUUACCGUGCCUCUAUUUUUUUUUCUUUUUUGAUUGAUUUAUUUAUUUUGAUCUAUUUACUGUAUUGGUGGUUGUAACCCCUUACUUACCAUUUUGUCCCAUGAGGGGGAAAUAUGUGUGGACACUGAGAGGAUAUUGGAAACCAUGGACUGUCCUGUAAGACAUGUAUAACUGUGCUGUAUCACUGAAUUACUAAUUGUACUGUACGGCUGCACUUGAUAAAAUGGAAUAAAAAGAAGUUUAAAAAAAAAAAGAAAGAAACUUAAUAAUACAAUAAACUGGAUGCAUACGUGUAUACACGGCUUAGCUAACACUUUAUUAAA